rnacentral:rRNA from 1 species
AUGCUCUUCAGCAGGGUGACUCUACUGUUGAUGACUUCUAUGCAUAGAGUUCUGCUAUCUGGUGUCAGCUUGAUUCUCUUUGUAGUGCUAGGUGUCGUACCUGCCCCUGUUGCCAGGCUGUCCAGGCCAAUUUGGAGUUUCAUCGCGUCUAUGAGUUCUUGUCUCGGCUCCAUAAGGAGUUUGAGCCCCGGCGUGCUCAGUUGUUUGCUCGUGGCCGUAUUUCUCUCAUGGAGGCGCUUUUCUGAGAUUCGUGCUGAGGAGACUCGCUUACGUGGUGCUGGUUUGCUGGAGGUUCCCUCUGUGCUCGCUACUCGUGCUCCUACGCCACUUGCUCCACCGACCCCUUCUCGCUCAAGUGCUCCGCCGCUCUUGCCCACUCCUUCUGGAGGCUCAGGUCGCCCCCGUCCACAUUGCGCCUAUUGCAACAAUGAUGGUCAUCUUGAGUCUCAGUGCUACACGAAGAAGAAACACCUGCACAAGGCUCGAUCAUCAUCUUCCGGGACUUCGUCAUCUACCUCGACAGCUUCAGCCAUUGCUUUGAUUGAGCAGGAUAUUCUGAGACUUAAGCGUCUGCUCGCGGCUUCAGGUUCUUCCUCGACGGGUACUGCCGGUUCUGUGACUGAUGCUUCCCGCACUGAGCAAUCACCCUCUACACAGUCAGGUACAUCCCCCUGGGUUCUGGACUCUGGAGCUUCUUUUCAUAUGUCUUCUCAUUCUUCCACUUUGUCCUCUCUUCGAUCAUUGGAUUCUCCUAUUCAUGUCUUCACUGUUGAUGGUACUCUGCUAGUAGAGGCAAUCUUACUACUCCUUCUUAUUUUGUUCCUGAUGUUGCUCAUGUUCCUCGACUUACCAUGA